rnacentral:rRNA from 1 species
GACGAACCGUGCGAACGUUAUUCGGAUUUAUUGGGCUUAAAGGGUGCGUAGGUGGUCGGGUAAGUCUGAUGUGAAAUCUCCGAGCCUAACUCGGAAACUGCAUCGGAUACUAUUCGGCUUGAGGGUUGGAGGGGGGACUGGAAUACUUGGUGUAGCAGUGAAAUGCGUAGAUAUCAAGUGGAACACCAGUGGCGAAGGCGAGUCCCUGGACAACUCCUGACACUGAGGCACGAAAGCUAGGGGAGCAAACAGG